UCUGCUGAUGCUGACAUCCUGACAUUGUAUUGUCUAAAUGUCUCGCCGCGGUGAAGCCUCCCAGCAAAACAUUCAACACUCACGAACCUGAUGUUCUCAGGAAACAUUCACACUUAAAAAAAUAAAAUAAAAAAAUGUGGCGGUCGGUGAAAACUUUUUCUUUAUUCAUUUAAAUUUAGAAAGUGGCUGCAAUGUUUGACUUUAUCUGGUUUUCAAAUGUCAGCUCUUCUGUACCCGUGUUAAACCAGCUCUGGUGGGUGCCUGUUUCUGUCUGAGCACUGACAGUAUAAUCAGACAGGCUGUCAGUUAAUUCACUUGUUAACCUGUGGAGCCCUUCGUUACCUUUGGCAACACCUUUUCCUCUUUCUCAGACACAUUUAAUGAUGUAUAGGAGCGUCUGCGUGUGUGUGUGUGUGAGUGCGAGCAUAAAUACAUUAAAUGUACAGAAUGUGUGUGCACUUGCCUUUCUGAAGAACCAGAAACCAGACCUGCAAUUACGUGUUAUUUCCUGUGGUCCUUUAAUAGUGUUCGAUUCUGAAUUCUUUACCAACAUCUGUAACCUUGACAACAUGUCAAAAUAUGUGCUUUGAUUUUAUUCACGAUGAAAUGCAGUUCACCAUAUCCACACGGCAGCAAUUAUCCACUGACGCACUCACAGCCUCUGUUAAUGUUGUGCUGCUCUGUUCCAGAUUUGCAAACAGUGAACUGAGAUGAUCUGCCAAAUUAUAACCUCAAAGCUUCCAGGUAAAUAAGCAACUGAGGAAAACAUGUAUAUUAAGAAUGUGAAGAGUAUUUGAGGUUAAUGCAACAUAAUAACCCACAAGUGACAUUUUUAAGCAAUUUGCUUUGACACAUAAUCCAUUUCUAGGCAACUGUCCUGUCAUUUAAAUACCAGAAAUAUUAUAAAUGAUAUGUUGGAUAACCUUCUAACUUCAUUUCAACAGCAGUUACUUUUAACAUCCAAAUGUCAUAUCCACAGACUGUGAAGUCUACGGCCUUAGCCACUUGUGCCAUCAUUAAAAAAGACCUACUAGCAAUGGCAGGAUAAUAGAAUCCAAUAAAAUGUGAGCUACAGUUCGACAUACUUAAAGCUGCUAUGAGAAGACUUUGUGUUUAUGAAGUAGACUGAAUAUGAAAUCGACUUUAUCUUGGCAUUUUUUCUCUUUCUUCCUCUUUCUUUUCUCUGCUUCUGAAUGAUAUGUCCUUUUUUGCGACAUUUUUUUGCCCCAGUACUAACUGCGCUCUGGAUGCACAGUGCACAUUGCACAGCAAAAGGCACAUAACGGAAGCGGAGCUUUGAUAUAUAUCGGUAGUAGGAAUCAUAGGCCUACAUCAGCAGCAGCACUGAAAUGUUUUUACUUUAUUUUAUUUAAUUUUACAAUAAUAUAUAUUUGAUUAUACAGAAAGCAUCACUCAUAAAUGCAAAAAAUUAAAAAUAUAAAAAAAAUUUUGAUUGCUCUUGGGGGCCCCCUAUUGGCUGCGGGGCCUUAAGCAGUUUAGUUUGCUUUUGCCUUGGGCCGGCUCUGCUUAAAACCAGUAUGAGGGGGUAGGUAUUGUCAGAGCAGCUGAAGCAAAAAGGUUUUAUUUUUGCAGUUUGCAUGACAAAUAUUUACAAAUUUUCGAUUUUUUAUUUUUUUUGGUAAAAUGACAACACUAAGCAAAAUUGACCCAACACAAAAGUUCCUCACAGGAGCUUUAAUGACACCACUGAACUUAUUACAUUUAACAUUGCUGUUCCUGGAUACCACAAGAAUAAUACAAAUUUGUAACUGAUCGCAAGGUGAGCUAGACGACAGUCCAUGCUAACCGAUUUCUGAUGUGUUGUGGAUUAAAGUACGUUAUGGGAUUUUUUUUACAAUGUGAUAGCAGCAGAAAGCUUCAAGCUCGCAAAAGUAUUAGCGUAAUGUUAUCACCGUUGGCUAUGGAUUUAUACUCCUCAAAUACUUGGACUUAAACCAACCAUGUCAAUGAUGGCUGCUGUCUAGCUGUUGCUAAUGAGCCGUCGAGAUUUGCCGUUUUAAAGCUCCUGUCACAAACUUUCAGUUUGCAUCAGUUUUAGUGUUCCUUGUGGACAAAUCAAUCUUUGAUUAUCUUGUCAGCUACUCGCUUGAGAAAUGUCUUCCAACUUUUGACACUUCAAUAUGUCACUUUUUGUGAAUAUUUGAUGUUGAAAAUGUAAAAAUGAGACUUUUUCUGCUGCAGCUUCACUGACACCUAUCUCCUCUCACUAGAUUAAGGUAUAAAGGUAUAAAAUGUUUUAAAAAUGAUCAGUUUUGUUUCUAAUGUUCCUGUUUGCUUUUGUACACCAUAAAAAAGCACAUUUAAAAUGUUCCAGUCCAUUUCAUAAAUGUCAAAAAUCUCCUGACAGGAGCUUUAAAAUUUCACCUGCAGUCUCUCUGGAUUUUCAUCAUCAUGAUGUUUUGAGUCACUAAUUAACUGGUAGGCAGUGGAAUGAUUAAUUUCCUUUAAUUAAUCAUAGUUAUGUAACCUUCAACAAAGCAUGACCUUUUGAUAGAUUUCUAACUACCUACCCUCCGCCCAGCAUCAGUGGAAAAGAGUCAGGAUGUGAAUAUGGUAAAUUUGAUUCUUUUGAUACAGUGGGCAGACUUUAAACACGUAGACAGGGUCUAUUUGGUAAAACAGUCCUCAACUGUGGUCAUUUAUGUUGUCUUGGAAGAGCUAUGUCUGUGUAAAAUCAUCUUAAUAAAGUCAAUAUAGAAAAAGUUCUUUCUUCUUUUGCUUAUUACAGCCUUGUGACAUUUCAGUCUGGGACACUAAGCCAGAUGUAAUAUCGGACAAAUUCCCAGGAUACUUACGGAUGUCCUGUAGGUCAAGAAACAUCAUGGUAAAAUAAUAACAAAAAAAAACUUUGGUAGCACACUGUUACAAGGUAGAUAGACAGGUCUAACAAUCCAACAUUAUUUUCCACUUGAAAGAAAAAAAGACAGUUUAACAGUUCAAUGUCUAAAUCACUCACAGAGAGUUCAUUUGUUUACCUUUUUUUAUUCUUUACAGUUUUGAGUUGUUUUCCAAUUUAAUUAGAGGUGGAAAGAAUCUGUAGUAACCUCUCCAAUACAUUUCUGCUAUCUGCUCUGCUACUUGAAAUCCUAUUUAUGCUUUUCAAGUACAAGCAUAAGUACCAUAGUCUAUUGAAAAUUAAUAGUAAUGUACUUGUCGUACAUAAAAAUGCCCCUAGUCUUUCUAUACUUUUAUGUACAUAUAUUAAUAUCAGAUUGAUAUGAAUCCACUUUAACGGUUUGGCAGCAUUUCCAUUGGGAGCUAAUUUUAAACUCAAGCGUUAUCUGCAUAGUAACUGACUGCUGCUAAUAAAUGGGUAUCAUAACAAAACUUUGGCCUGAGGUGAGACAGAAAAAAGUGGCAUUAAGUAGAAACUUCCACUAAAGCAGAUGCCACUCAAAAUAGUAGUUGAGUAAACAGAGUGGAAAUAGGUUUUUGAAUACCAAUAAGUUCUUCCCCCAAAUUAAUGAAAACUACCUGUACGAAAGCCUGAAGCAAUGUUUAUUUAAACCACAAAAUAUGGGAAUAUCUUUCUUUAUGUUUUAUUACUUUUAUCAGACUCAGCAGACUUUGACUCGUAAAUGACCUGAAAAACAAUGAGCCAAAGAAAAACUAAAGACAUCCUACCAUAAUGGUGUUAUGAGUCGCACACAACCUUUAUUGUGUGGUGAAAUGAUGAAAAUAAUGGUGUUUUCUUCUAUCUGUGGCCUUUUCUGCCGUUUCACAUCUUCCUUUCUAUGUACAGAUUCAAUCGUGUUUUCAGGACUGGAGCCAAGGCACACAAUACAUGUUUAUGGACUACCAUCAUUUCCAAAUAUGACCGUGGAGCUUUGUGGCCUUGCACAAGAUCCAUUAUGUGACGUCUGUAUUUGUGUGUGCGUGUGUGUGUGUGCCUCUGUGUGUGUGCUAUCUUACUCGCCUCUUUAGGUUGUUUUACUCUCAGGACAAAUCUGUUCCUUUCUAAAGGAAAAAAAAUUCCUGCUGAAAUGUUUUUGUUAUCUGUGCAUAAAACAUGCAACAACAACCGGGGGGCGAAGCCAGCUUGGUUCUAUAGAGAUGGAGGUGUGAGCUGGUUAAAGAGGCCAUUUCUUCUUUUCUCUUGACAGCGUCAUGCUGUCUUUGUGUUUAUGAAUACAGAAAAAGACUUGAGCGCUGUGUGGAUCUGUACGCUCCAAGGAUAUUUCCUCUGUCAUUGUAAAUUUAAUGUUGGAGACAUACAGUAUCUCCAGGACAAAGAUGAAGAAAAAGUACUCUAUAAUUGUUGCCAAGGGUUUUCACACUAGAACGUCAGGUUUGGUUGUCAAGCUCUCAAGGUCAAGAAAGCAUAUUGUUGAGUUAACUAUAGUGGGUUUUUAUAAGUAGUGUACCAUUGACUGAUUGUUAAAGAUGUUGCUUGUUAUCACCUUGUGCUGUCAGUUGUAUCCAGGAACUGAGAUCAAUAAAAGCACCAGUGAAAUAAAAUCUUAAUAUGUCAUUGUUUUCUGGGAGGUGUCUGAAGCUUUAUAGUCAAUCACUUUUUUUCAUUGUUUAUUUAAAAGACUGUUCUGCCUGUUAUAGUAUGGAAACUGAGGAAAGCUUUGUUUUUUAUAUGUCUUAUACCAUAGACUUCUUUUCUUGUUGUGUUUUAAAAAACAGACAAAAUGACAAAAAUAUCCCUGAAGGAUCUUUUUUGCUGAUCAUACAUCAGGUAUGACCCCUCUGCACCCCCCAAGGCUAGCAAAUGUGCAUAUUUCAACAGCAAAGACUUAAAAAAGAAAAAAAAAACAGGGAUGUGGUCUCUGUGAUCACGCCUUCUGGAGAUGGAGAUGUGUUCAGAUGUCCAUCAGUGGUGGUCGCCAUAUCGGAAAUGUUGACCAUGGACUGUAUAUAGAAUAGACAGAGUCUGCCUCCUCGCUGGGUGAAGCCACUCCACGAACAGCACCCUCUGGUGACGGGCUGCAGUAUAGGUCAUAAAUCCCACCUCCGCCAGAAAAGCUUAUGGAGCUGUGGACAAACUUUAGAAAUUUAUUACACAGAACAUACAUUUUUCUCCCUCCUGCUUGCGAUGUUUACAUGUAGCUAUUUUAAGGCGGAACCAAGUUGUCCAUAGUAUAUACAGUCUAUGAUGUUGACUCACAAAACCCAAUAUGGUUCACCCAGAAGAGGAAGGGGUUGAGUUGGGCCUUAAAACUAUGCAAAUGUACAACUCUUUAAUAUCCCACCAACUGUAUACACAUGAAAAAGUCAGUGCUGUGAUUGUUUUUUCCUUGUUUUAUUCUCUGUGUUCCUGUCCUCUGUGUUUAUUGGUGUUCAUUUAAUUUCAUCAUUCCUGUUCGAUGUUUCCUUGUUCCUGUUUUUUCUUGUUUCAUUUUGUAUUCAAUUCAACUCAAUUCAACUUUAUUUAUAAAGCGCAUUUCAUACACAGGGCAGACUUGAUGUGCUUCACAACAGGUAUACAUAGUUAAAAAAAACAGUCAUACAAAAAUCUGUUAGAAAUCAAUUUAAGAGUGUAAGUGCAAGUAAAGUAAAGUAAAGCAAGUAAAGUAAGUGCAUGCACACUUAAACUCGUAUAUGCGCACGCCCUCACACAUGGACACAUGCACACACAUACAUACACAUACACACAGUUCAACAGAAUGCUAUAGAAAAAAAGAUCUGUUUUUAAAGAUGGCCACUGAUGUGGAAUGUCUAACUGUGUCAGGCAGGGUGUUUCAUUUUUGUGGGGGGCAUAAACACUAAAAGCUGCCUCCCUUUCUUUGGAUCUGGUGUGAGGGAUGAGUAAGUUGCCACUGCCUGUUGACCGAAGUGUUCUUGCCGGGGUGCAGGUGAUGAGCAUAUCUGUGAUGUACUGAGCUGCAAGGCCAUGUAGUCCUUUGUAAACCGGGAGAAGUAUUUUGAAAUCGAUUCUUGUUCUAAAGGGUAACCAAUGUAAAGAUUCGAGAACGUGUGUGAUGUGUUGAUAUUUUUUGAUACUAGUGAUAAUACAUGCAGCUGCAUUUUGAAUUAAUUGUAACCUCUGAAUACUUGAUUUUUGUUUUCCUCGUCACACUCCCUUGAUUUUCUGUUCUAUUUUGAUUCGUCAUCAGUUUCACCCGUGUCUUGUUUGUCUCAUCUGUUUCCCUGUGAGUAUAUAGUUGUAAGUCUUUCCUUCCUUCUGUAUUGGUUCACUGGUUCAGUCAUUUUCAGACUCUUUUUAACUUACAAAACCUUUAUUUUUAAAUCUGCAUUUGGGUCCUUUUUGUUUCCUGUUUUUUUGGUUGAAUCAAAAUCCAUGACAGUUAGCCGUAUCAAUUAAGACCAAGCUCACUAUUGUACCUUGUGCAGACAAUUUUUUUGGAUUAUGCAGAUAAGGGCCCAUUUAAAUAAAUGGAAAAUAAAAGAUUUUUUAAAGAUUUUUUUUAGUUUAACCAUAAACAAUUAAGCUUUUAAAAUGUACUAAAAACAAAUGUCAGAGGAAAUAAAUGAAAUGUAUAAAUAUGUGUGAGGGAGAAAUGUGAGUCGAAAAACUCUAAAUAUAUUCCAGUCAAGUUUGACUCUGACACUAAUAUUUUUCCAUGCACUCUAGGUCAAGUGUUUUACAGUAUGUCCCUGAGCAGAGUAUGUGCGCUCCACAAACUGUCCAAUGAAAUCAAAAAGACAAACCAUCCCGGUAUAGCUCUCAUAAUGGUGCUAGGUUUGCUAGUAGCACUGCAUAAUGGGUGGCUGCAGGGAAAUGUCCCAUUACAUUUAAUUACUCUGAUAAAUGGAUUGCCACUGACCACCACCAGAUGGUGCCAUAAUUAGUAUUUUCUUUGAAUGCACUGAUUGUCUUGCCUGUGAACAUAAGAAGACAAUGAGCCUCAUUGUAGAGCCAAGUACCAAGCACAUUUGCUGGGAAAUGAUUGAAUAGAGUCAGUAAUGUAAUAAUGAAAAAAUGGAGUGUAAACACGCUGGAAUUUGACUCUAUGCUUCACUCUUGAGAGAGUGUGGUUUUAACAGAUCUUCUCAUAAAACUGUGCAGCUUACAUCUGAGUUUGACAAUAAAUCACAUUUCAUAUAUUGUCUUUUUUUCCACAUCAGUGAGUCGCUAUAUUUGAGAACCUCACCUAGACUCAGGUUAACAAAUCUGUGACUGAUCCUGACAUGAAGCCUAUAAAGCCUGGGGGCAUGAUGAAUCCAGGAAGAUACAUGUGAGAAUAACAGAAGCUGCUCCGAGUAAAGCCGCCUCUGCCUCAGACUUUCACACCCUGCGGCGCUGUGCUGCACACAAGGUUGUUUACACACUCCCUGACUGUGUACGGGGGCUCAGCCCUCUCUCCCCAUCUCUCACAUUCACUCUCUCGCACAAGCACCCAUAUACUACCGUACACCAUGCUAAUAACCACAGCCUGGACUUGGGUAAGCCUCAAACUUAUAGGCAGUGCUGUGUGCUCAAAGCAAAUCCUGUCAUUCCUUCAACAUUGCAGACCCCCUCUGUGGCUGACGUGUGGCUCAAACACCUCAGAGGUGAUAUAACAUAGCUUUGUCAUCUUUAAUGUUUGCGCUGCCAACUCUACUACAUGUAUACACAACUGAAUAUGUAUCAUACCAUGCAACUCUCUCAUUAAUGAAAUAUUUCCUAUCAAUAAAACACUCAUGCUGGAUAUAAAGCAGUGACACAGUAACAUAUUCAUGACAUAAGAGCUACUUGUGAUCACCUAUUUAUAAAACAGACAUUAAUAUAACACUUGGACCAUAAUUUCAGAUGUUCUAGCCCACUGUCACUCAAACAGGCGAGGGACAGCUACCUUGAAAUCCUGUGACUCCUAAAUGAAGCUGUUAAAUAACAUUAUCUUAAAACUGACCUAUAAAUACACUUGUUUUAAAAGCAUGAACGGCCAUGAAGCAUUUCCAACAACAUAAGAUAAUAUAGCUAACAAUGUUUGUAUGAGGAAAAUAACUCAGGAUUUUGAAAAAAAAAAAUUGUCUGCUCUAGAGUCAUAAAUUUGAGAUAUAAGGUUGCAACAUUACAAGAAUAAAGUGAGAAAUUUGCAUGAAUAAAGUCGUAGUUUAAUGAGGAGAAACUAGUCAGUGGUCAGCCGUUGUAUAAUUUCAAGGAGGAAGAUCAAAAGAGAGCGAGCGGCCUUCCCCAAAACAACGAAUGUGGACCAAAACUUUUAAGUAUUAAGUUAUACUUUGUUGUAGAUGUCAUAAGUAACUUACAAAUAACCAUUUUAGCGCUGCAGCGCCAUAUUAUCACAAGUAGAGUGUGCAAGAAAAAGGGUGGGCAUGUAGGCCGCAUUUGGAUGCUUGUGUUACCAUGUUGCUGAUAUUUAUGCACUGAUUACUACAGCCAAUGGGCUCAGAACUUCUUUCUUACAAAAUUAAACCUAUGAUCUAAGUGGAUUACAGCUAAAUUCUUGUACUUAACCUCUAAAGGUCCUUACACAUUGGGGCCGACGCGAAUAUAGAACGCUAAAUUACAAAAUAUUGUGAGGCGAAUUCUGACGCGCCUGACUAUACACAUCAAGCCCAGUGUGAUUUUGUGACUUUCCGGGGAAAAAAGACGCGUCCCGGCUGUAAGCCAGAAGACUGACACAACAGCAGACUGACUGUUUCUCAGUUCUGAUUAGACACUAGUGUUGAGAUGACUGUCUGUCAUGAUAGCAUGUACUGAUUCAGGGCUAGUACCAGAUAAGCAUAAACGUAAGGUAACAACCGAGACCUAAUGGUGCUGUGACAGCAAGGCGAUUGAGUGUGAGACAGUGAAAAUACAUAUAGUAUGUUUUAACUGAACAGGUUAGCUUAUGAGCUAAAGUUACUUAGCACAGAUGAAAGUUAAAACAAAGACAUUUAGCAAACUGUUAAAGCACACAAACCAUCGUCAUAUGAGAAAUCCGACGCUAUGACUCUCCACAAGUUGUCCUUCAGGUUGUUAGCUUUGUAAUGUUUGUGUCUUUUAUCAAAAAGCACUCUGUUCUUUGACACGUAAACAAUCAGCCGGUCGGCCAUGUUGGAUAUACCGGUGAAUCAGAUGUCGCAACAACACGCAAUCCGAUUGGUCAGAAGUGGACACACAGUUUGCGAAACUUUAGAAAAAUCGACUGUGAUCCGAAAAAAUAAAUGCGCAGUAUUGAGGAUAUGCAAUAUUGCAGGACGGUAAAACGUCGCUGAUGUGAACGCUUGUAUUGACAGGAUACGGGUUCGAAAAAAGAUAUAGACGUCUGAAAUAAUCGCACGACAAAAACAGUUCCGGUGUGAAAGGACCUUUAAUCUAGCUUCUUUGUUAUUUUUGAUUUAUUUUUGAAAUCUUAACUUCUUCACCCUCAAUGUGGCCAAAAUCCUUUGUCAUGCAUGUAGUAGCAGCCUUCAAAUAAAUCACAAGUGGAUUAGUCAAAUCAAAGGGUAAGCGGUGGCACCUAUUCUGAAAACUUGCUAAAAAAUCUGUUGAUUGUUAAAAAUUGUAAACCCUCUGCCCAGAGACAUCGAGGGGGUUAUUUGAUGGGAUACAAGACUUUAAAAAGUUUAUGAAACCCUUUUCUGAGACCAAGAAAGGUGGUAGUUUUCCUCCUGUUUCUUUUUUUGUGAUUUGGAGCUCACCUCGCCUCCAUUGACAAUAAUAGUCUGUUCACAAGAUGUGAAUCCAGAAAGAAACUACUUCCUAACUCAUGUUUCUGUCUAUGACAGGUGUUUGUCUGAUGUUUUUGUGUUUGUAGACCUCCAAAAUCACCCUGUUCGUGCUGCCUUGCUUUUAUAUGAUGUAUAAUUUCUCAACCAAAAAGCCAGUCAACACGUCAGUCUAUCCUUUCAGCCAUUUUCGGAUCCAGUAUUGAUCCCACACCAACUGAGAGAGAAAUAAACCCUCCAGCAUGUCCCCAGACUUCCCCAUGGUCUCCUUACUUGUACUAAGAACACCUUAAAGGGUACCACCCAGGGGGAUCCCCCACCAGAUGCUCGCCUGCUUCAAGAAGAUGGUAGUGGAUAAAAGGUCCCAGUCCCACUAGAGCAGUUUUACCUCUGUGGAUUCCUCCCCGUCUGUCUGCUCAUCUGAAAUCACCAGCUUGUCAGGGCUGCUCCAAGCUCAUAUUUGAAGUCAUCCUUUCCAAAUGAUAUACCCAAAAGUGGUAGGCUAAGUGAAGCAGAGCAUUUUUUAACUGCCAUAAUAAGUCAGUCUGACGCUCCGGUAGACUUCUUCAUGUGACAGAGCGAAGGCAUGACUGCUAAAUGUACUGAUUGAGUCAAUAUAGUCGCGGGAUUAAGAACAGCUCUGCUAUUUAUUCAGGGAAGGACCAGCAAAUUAUUUUUGUUCAGAGGAGGAAGGUAUCACUGCUGAAGCUCUUCAACAGGUUCAUCAUAUAAAAAAUAAAUGAAAGGAGCUGUUUCACCUCCGUGCCUCGUGUCUGGAUAUCAACAGAGUUGCUUUGUAUAAGC